rnacentral:lncRNA from 10 species
CAAGCCUGGGCAAUGGCGGGCGCCCCUCCCCCAGCCUCGCUGCCGCCUUGCAGUUUGAUCUCAGACUGCUGUGCUAGCAAUCAGCGAGACUCCCUGGGCAUAGGACCCUACGAGCCAGGUGCGGGAUAUAAUCUCGUGUUGCACCGUUUUUUAAGCCUGUCGGAAAAGCGCAGUAUUCUGGUGGGAGUGACCCGAUUUUCCAGGUGCCGUCCAUCACUCCUUUCUUUGACUCAGAAAGGGAACUCCCUGACCCCUUGCGCUUCCCAAGUGAGGCAAUGCCUCGCCCUGCUUCGGCUCGCGCACGGUGCACGCACCCACUGACCUGCGCCCACUGUCUGGCACUCCCUAGUGAGAUGAACCCGGUACCUCAGAUGGAAAUGCAGAAAUCACCCGUCUUCUGCGUCGCUCACGCUGGGAGCUGUAGACCGGAGCUGUUCCUAUUCGGCCAUCUUGGCUCCUCCCUCUGAAGGCUACAGACACUUAUUGAGCAUCUACUAGAUGCCAAAUUCUGUGCUGCUGCUACAAUCCAUUGAGACUUUAACACCCACAUGGAAUACGCAAUUGGGAGAGAGUGAAGGAGUACUGAAGGCAAACUCAGGGGCUACACUUCACAAAAAUAGGAGAUUUGGAAUUUACAAAGAAGAAGAGGAGAAAGAGGAGGAGGAGGGGAAGGAGGAAGAAAAAGAAGAGGAAAAAGAGUAACAACAACAUAAAGCCAUAAGUCAAAGAAGAGUGUAGGGUUGGAUGAUGUUUUUCAAACAUUUUUGCCUGUGACUUACACUAAGAAAUAUACAUCUACACAGUGACCAGCUAAUGCUCCUCCCAUAAUUCACACACAGAUGACUAAAACAGAAGUUUCACAGAACAAUAUUUAUCUUUCGUGAGGCACGCUGAUAUUUUCUUUUUAAUUUCUAUUCAUUUAUAUUAUUUUCUGUAUUUUUCACUUAAAGACAUGCCAGUUGUGGCCUACUGGAUUGAUUUUCCUGCCCCAGUUGAACACAGACAGGAAUAGAGGUCCUUCGUGCAUGCAUGUGGAUUGUGGUUACUGAAGGGUCACAGGAGACUGCACAGGAGGAGGGGACAACUCACGACAGCAGAGUGGGGGCCACAGAGCCAAGGGCAAGCACGGAGGCCCAGGAAGGAAGGAUGGAAAAGAUGGUGCUGAGAACCUGGAAGUGUCGUAUUGAGAACAGAAAACGUACAGGCCAUUGACUGAACAUUCUGCUUGUUAAUUACAUAUUUUGGGAUUUUGAAGAAAAAGACAAAAUGUGUAAGAAGCAGAUUAAAAUUAGAAACAUGAGCAAGAGUAGGUGGUGGGAAAGUUAAAUGUAAGGAAAUAAACUGUUCCAGGACUUUUUUUUUUUAAAGGCUUUUAUUUCAAGGUCAGAAAAAUGUCACGGAAGGAAAAAAAUUAUUAUUUAUUUAAAAAGAAAACUGAAAUGUAAAAGAUAUGACAGAACUCUUCGGGAGGUAGAGAGAGUGAGGAAGAAAAGUGAGUACAAAGCAGAGAGGAAGAAUAUUGUUGCAGAAAAUCAUUGGUUCUAAUUCCCAAUUUCUGCCCAGCAUUGAUGAGGGAGAGUCCAACAGAAAAUUUUAAGUACCUGUUUAAAGCAAUUUACAAGAUACUGUGGAGAUUCCCAGCAAUAAAGAAUGUACUAUAGUUAAGCUGGAAUCCAACUCCUGAAUUUCUGGAGCCCUGAAGACCACUUAGUCUUACUCACAAGAAUUGAAUGGAAUGUGAAUCUACACUCAGGUGAAGCCAGGGUAUUUUGAACGUCCCUACAAGACUGAAGCACCACUGGGAAAUAAGUAAUAGAGAUGCCAUCAUUGUGGAGGUCAUAAUGCUUGUCCUGAACACGAGGGGUCUCUAGUGAGGCACCAAUUCAGCUCCUCUUCUGUGGAGAGACUACAUGGGUGCUGAAGAAACAAAGACACAACGCAGCUCCUCUCAAAGGAGUUCAGAGCUUAGCAGGGGAGACAGAACCAUGAAUGCAUAGUUACGCAUCAAUGUGCUGCACGAGCACUGAAGCCCAAGCACAAGCGGCCUGAGUCCCAAAAACAUUUGCUGACUGCUGUUCUAUCUAGGAUAUCAUCAGUGUGUAGAUGAUCAGAGUUCAUGUCAGUGUUCCUACAAGCCAAUGAAGGUUCUGAGGAGGCAGGACCAAGAAAUGGAUGUUGAUGUUUAGGAGACUGUAUGUAAUAUGUAAAUAAAAUGAAAAACAGAGAUCUGUGUUCUGAAUGGAAAAAUUCCUACUGAUGCCACCCACUAGUCUGGAACAAGUCAGUCUCAAACAUAACAACAGACACUGGGGAGCUCUCCAACAAAAGAUCACCUCCCAAAGAACAGGAUGGUGUCGAAGACUGAAUGCCAGCCUGAGGAAACAGAAAUACUACAGAAGCACGCCAGAGCCUGCAGUGUCUCCUCGCUGCCUCUCAAUGAACUGCUAAAAGACCAAGAACUCUGCUGAGAGAUAAGAAGAGGGGAGGGUGUGCUGCAGGUGGUGCUGGGAGGCCCAGACCUUCUCCUGACAUCUGGGGCUGGCUACAGGAAACAGAAACAUCACCCAGGCCUUGGCGCGAGACAGGACAGAGGCAGAUUGUGACUCAGAUCUGCAGGUGGAAAGUGGGCCUUUCGUUUUCUCCUAGGGGUAGAGCAAAGCCAGAGGGCUCAGUCAGAGGAAACCUAAGGCAGUUCAUGAUCCCUUCAACUUUAUACCAUUUCCUCAAAACUGCCUCCAAACAGUGGGCAACUGGAAAGGUGGUCUGACCUCCAGUGAUCACACAGUAUGCAUUAUAACAGAAGGCUGUCACUGUCAAUUGCAUGGCUCCCUCACUAUGCAUUCCUUCUAUCAAUUUACGACAACACACUGUAGUGAGUACCUGCACAUUGCUGGGUAUUUUGGCAGACAUUGAUAGUAGAUGAAUAACACCUGGUACUUGACCUUGAGACGCUCACUGCCUAGUGUGGGGAACCAAUGGUUGCAAUAUAAAGUAUUAACUAGAGGGAUAGAGGACUGCCUGAGGAUCUCUGCACUCAGAGGAAGGGCCAUGAGAUCAGCCAGGACAGUAGGGAGGCAGUGACUCAUGAAAUUAGCAAGUGGUGAGAAGAGGGCAGUAGAUUCAGCGGCUGCUAAAAAAGGUUACUGAACUUUUUGUUUCAUCAAUGCCAAGAAAUUAAUCUGUUUUAGCCUCUUUCAUGGCCUCUGUUUGAAAUUUUUUAACUUUUUUUUUUUUUUUAGAUUUAGGGGUACAAGGACAGUUGUAUUGCAUGAGUAUAUCAUAUAGUGGUGAAGCCUGGGCUUUAAGUGCACCUAUCACCCGAAUAGCGUACAUUGUACCCACUAGGUAGUAUUUCAUUUCUCACCCUUCUUCCACCUUUUGGAAUCUCCAGUGUUUGUUGUUCUACUCUGUAUGCCCAUGUGUACUCAUUGUUUCACUCCCACUUAUAAGUGAGAACAUGUGCUUUUGACUUUCUGUUUCUGAGUUGUUUCACUUAGGAUAAUGCAUGUUCCUGUUUUGAUUCAGUCAAAAUCCUGGGGUCAGCACUGACAAUGUGAUUAACCCCUGUCCUAAAUUCACUGCAGAGGAACUGCUCCCAUAUGACUACUUAUUACCACCCAAGCCAGAAACCACAAAGAUAUUCUGACCUCUCCUCCUUCACUCCCCACCAACUGGUGAGUAAGCUAGUCACCAAGUCUUGAUUCUACUUGCAAACAUCUUUGGAAGGGAUCUCUCACUCCACACAGUCUCUGUCAUUGCCAAGUAUACCCAUUACCUCUGCUCUGUCCUACGGCUCAUCAUUCCUCAUCUACAUGCUGCACCAACCUCCUAACUCCCAUUCCUCCCCCUCCUAGUUCACUGCCAUAGCGUAAUCUUUCUAUAUCACGGAUCAUAUUGUGUCCGAAAUUGGUGGGUUCUUGGCCUCACUUACUUCAAGAAUGAAGCUGCAGACCCUCGUGGUGAGCGUUACAGUUCUUAAAGGUGAUGUGUCUGGAGUUUGUUCCUUCUGAUCAUGUUCGGAGUUUCUUCCUUCUGGUGGGUUCGUGGUCUCGUUGGCUUCAAGAGUGAAGCUGCAAACCUUCAAGGUGAGUGUUACAGCUCUUAAGGCAGCGCAUCUGGAGUUGUUUCUUCCUCC